UAGUGGCGAACGGGUGAGUAACACGUGGGCAAUCUGCCCUUCACUCUGGGACAAGCCCUGGAAACGGGGUCUAAUACCGGAUAACACCUGCCCGGGCAUCCGGGUGGGUUAAAAGCUCCGGCGGUGAAGGAUGAGCCCGCGGCCUAUCAGCUUGUUGGUGAGGUAGUGGCUCACCAAGGCGACGACGGGUAGCCGGCCUGAGAGGGCGACCGGCCACACUGGGACUGAGACACGGCCCAGACUCCUACGGGAGGCAGCAGUGGGGAAUAUUGCACAAUGGGCGAAAGCCUGAUGCAGCGACGCCGCGUGAGGGAUGACGGCCUUCGGGUUGUAAACCUCUUUCAGCAGGGAAGAAGCGAAAGUGACGGUACCUGCAGAAGAAGCGCCGGCUAACUACGUGCCAGCAGCCGCGGUAAUACGUAGGGCGCAAGCGUUGUCCGGAAUUAUUGGGCGUAAAGAGCUCGUAGGCGGCUUGUCACGUCGGGUGUGAAAGCCCGGGGCUUAACCCCGGGUCUGCAUUCGAUACGGGCUAGCUAGAGUGUG
rnacentral:rRNA from 1 species